UACAGAGGUCUCAAGCGUUGUUCGGAUUCAUUGGGCGUAAAGCGCACGUAGGCGGCUUUGUAAGUUAGAGGUGAAAGCCCGGGGCUCAACUCCGGAACUGCCUUUAAGACUGCAUCGCUUGAAUCCAGGAGAGGUGAGUGGAAUUCCGAGUGUAGAGGUGAAAUUCGUAGAUAUUCGGAAGAACACCAGUGGCGAAGGCGGCUCACUGGGUAGAUACUGACGCUGAGGUGCGAAAGCGUGGGGAGCAAACAGG
rnacentral:rRNA from 1 species